GACGAACGCUGGCGGCGUGCCUAAUACAUGCAAGUCGAGCGGACUGAUUAAGAGCUUGCUCUUAUGACGUUAGCGGCGGACGGGUGAGUAACACGUGGGCAACCUGCCCUGUAGAUCGGGAUAACACCGAGAAAUCGGUGCUAAUACCGGGUAAUAUCUGAGAUCACAUGAUCUUAGGUUAAAAGAUGGCUCCGGCUAUCACUACAGGAUGGGCCCGCGGCGCAUUAGCUAGUUGGUAAGGUAAUGGCUUACCAAGGCGACGAUGCGUAGCCGACCUGAGAGGGUGAUCGGCCACACUGGGACUGAGACACGGCCCAGACUCCUACGGGAGGCAGCAGUAGGGAAUCUUCCGCAAUGGACGAAAGUCUGACGGAGCAACGCCGCGUGAGUGAUGAAGGGGUUCGGCUCGUAAAGCUCCGUUGUUAGGGAAGAAACAGUACCGAACGAACUAGGUCGGUACCUUGACGGUACCUAACCAGAAAGCCACGGCUAACUACGUG
rnacentral:rRNA from 1 species